UACGUAGGGUGCAAGCGUUGUCCGGAAUUAUUGGGCGUAAAGAGCUCGUAGGCGGUCUGUCGCGUCGGCUGUGAAAACUCGGGGCUCAACCCCGAGCCUGCAGUCGAUACGGGCAGACUAGAGUCCGGCAGGGGAGACUGGAAUUCCUGGUGUAGCGGUGAAAUGCGCAGAUAUCAAGAGGAACACCUGUGGUGUAGACAGCUUACUGGACCAUAACUGACGCUGAGGCACGAAAGCGUGGGUAGCAAACAGG
rnacentral:rRNA from 1 species